AAUAUGGAGUCACAGACCCAGAUCCUUAUGAUAUUGCUGUUCUGGGUGUCUGGUGCUUGUGCAGAUAUUGUGAUGACCCAGUCUCCAUCCUCACUGGCUGUGUCAGCAGGAGAGAAGGUCACCAUCAGCUGCAAGUCCAGUCAGAGUCUUUUAUACAGUGAAAACCAGAAGAACUACCUGGCCUGGUACCAACAGAAACCAGGGCAGGCUCCUAAACUACUGAUCUACUGGGCAUCCACUCGGCACACUGGGGUCCCUGAUCGCUUCAUAGGCAGUGGAUCUGGAACAGAUUUCACUCUCACCAUCAGCAGUGUUCAGGCUGAAGACCUGGCAGACUACUACUGUCAGCAGUAUUAUUAUUUUCCUCCCACAGUGCUUCAGCUUCCAACAAAAACCUCCUCUGGGAGUCUCACCAGCUGUGUGCACCACAUAUAG